rnacentral:lncRNA from 1 species
UUGCAGUUCUCCAGAGGGGAGUGGCUAUUUCCAAGAUGGAAGAGGAGAUACAGUUUCCAAAGAGCUUGAGAGAGUCUCUCCCCAGGUCGAGGCAGUGGCACAGAAGCUACCCAUUUCUUAAACCAGAAGGAAGAAGAGCAGUGCUGCGUCUGGGGGUCUGUUUCUACACGCAUGCCCCUUCUACCCCAGGACUGGAUGACUCCUGUGAUGGAGGACGUGUGGCAAGUUUCUUCCCCACCAUAAUCAGCCCAUUGAGCUAUGCCCUGAGGGAUCAGGCCCAGUCCUCAGGAAACAAACUUGUGCACAGGUAGUGGGACUGAGUCCCUGGGUUAUGAGUAAAGUUCUUAAAUAAAAGAAGGAAAAAAUAAAUCUAAGUGUGGCUGGCAGGCUUGGAGGAGAAGAAACCAUGUCCCCCGGUGAGCCCACUGCUGCAGGACCAGAGGAGAGGAGGCCACGCCCUCAGGCCCGCUGCCAUCAGGGGAGCAUCAGUGAGCUGCCACUCCACAGAUUUCCACCACCCUGGGAACCUUGGAUCAGGGGAACCCAGGUGCCUGGCCCAAUCCCCUGCACCGCACGACUGGCAGCCAGCAGGAAGUGCCUGGACUCAGCAACUGGCUGAUUCCAAGGAGCACAGAAAAAUGUCAAGAUGAAGGAUCAAGGUGCAAUCUCAGACCUCCAGCCCACCCAAGACAAGUCCAGGAGACAUAGACACAAAAGAAAUUGGAAGUCAUACACGUGAAAUUUCUGAAAUGAUAGCAACUGAAGUAAAGAGACAACUUAGGGCUUAUAUUGUUUGAUUAACUUUGCAUGCCUAUAUCUCGAACUCUGAGCAUCUAUGUGCAAAAUAGUAACUAUUGUUGGUUUCCUGCUGUCUUGUUUUUGAAAUCCAAGAUCCUUUUUGUUUAUUGUUUUGUUUUAUUCUCUUUAAAAUUAAAGAAAAA